ACGCUCGACACCUACGAGAGGCAGCAGUGGGGAAUAUUGCACAAUGGGGGAAACCCUGAUGCAGCGACGCCGCGUGAGCGAAGAAGUAUUUCGGUAUGUAAAGCUCUAUCAGCAGGGAAGAAACUGACGGUACCUGACUAAGAAGCACCGGCUAAAUACGUGCCAGCAGCCGCGGUAAUCUGAGGCGGGCGUGGACGAAGGCG
rnacentral:rRNA from 1 species